ensembl:lncRNA
GUGUGCUCCCAGCAGGGCUCUGUGUGAAGCCCAGCUCUCCUCCUUCCCUCCUGUUCACUGCGGGCUGCACUGAUGCUGCAUGGAGGUCUUCUCUACAGGUACAGAGGCCACUAACACCUGAAUGAGACAUAGAAGUGCUCUGAACAGCAAGCCCAAGCACUGCUAACCCGCUUAUGAGAAGCUGGCUGACACAAUCCAUCCGCUUCCCGAGGCCUGAGAAGAAUAUGAAAUCAGAUUAAUCAGAUGAAGACGACUCAUCUGAAUCCCAUCACAUCAGGGUGAGGCUGUAAGCGGAAGGGUGCUGGGCACUCUGGUGUCCUAAACACCACCUACAAAGCAGAUCUGCAGAAUGGGACAGAAAGGAAUCAAUUAAAUAUAUCUCUGCUGCACUCAACGCAGUUCCAUGGGUGUCUGCAGAAAUUAGGGGUUCCACAUCCUUCCCAAGGGCUCUGCUGCACCACUCCCUUUCUCUCUCAUCGCCAAUAAGGGCUGGGCGUCCCGCCGAGCUCGGGAUGGACAGGUGAUAUUUAAUGACAGUUUUUCAAGUUGCUUUUCCCAGAGCCAUUACAAAACGUACAACCAGCACAAAUCUGACUGUAGGGUGAAUUUGCCACCUUGAAAUCAAAUUCUCAUGGAAAUGAAAUGGCUGACCCCAAAUCCCCCGAAUGCUGGAUGAGCUCGCAUGAUAAACAACUUGUAAUGGCUCUGCUGGCGCUACCGACUCUGUUAAAUGUCACUGCUUCUCUAAAUACCUUCCGGGAGAUGACUGCUCUAUCUGUAUUCUGUAUUUUCCCCUUUUUAAUAUCAGCGUCUGCAAUGUUGCCAUCCUGGAAGCCAUUGUCCAGGGAUUGCAGAGAGCCUCAGACUCAUUUUGCUCUCUGUCACGUCAGUCAUUUCUCAGUAUCCACAUCAGUGUUUAGCUCACAACAACUUUACAGCAAGCUGCCUGCUGCCUGGCAGGCCAGGCUGGCACAGACCCCACUCUGCUCCUCUGGAAGGGCCGUGCACAGCCCCAUGGGGACACAUCUGCUGGUCGCUGCUGCCAAGCCCUUAUGGUCAUCAGCAUCACCACCUGGUCUUGCUUCCCUUUCAAGACCACUUCUUGUUUUAAGUCAGCAGAAUGAUCGCUUCAUGCUUUUAUUACACGGAUCUAUAUUUGGGGUGCUGAAAAUGGUUUGCAUCUAAUUAGCCUACCCCAUCCCCCCCCAAAAAAGGUGCCAAACUCAUCUUGUUAAACCACAUGAGCAACACCAUGCAGAUAGCCCAGCACAGCAGGUGCAUUCUGUCACAUAGCAAACCCUGCAUUGCUGUCUCUAAAUGUCUGAAAGUCUGUAAAACAGCUCUAAAUACAAUUAGGGAGCAGUGGAAGCAAAAUGACUGGGGCAUUUGCAUCCAGCUGCUUGCCUGGAGCAUGGGCUGCUGUGUGCAGAGCUCAAGGAUUCAAGCGUUGGCCACAAUAGCAGUAACACAGAGCUUCACUGCAUUCUGCUUUGGUUUUGAUGGCUUUCCAUGGUGUGAAAUUGGAGCUCAUUACAUUAAUUGUGCUUUCCUGGAUUCUUUCAUGGGGUGCAUGGAUGGCAGGAAAUGACUUACAGAACAAAAAGCAGUAUUGGAGCACAAUAUGCUUCAGCUUCUGCUCCCCAUGCGUUUCCUGUGAGCUUUUGUUUCAGCAUCUAGGAUCCAUUUCUGGGCCAUAGAAGAAAACUGGCUGCCUGGGAAAAGGGAGAGGUCAGAAAUUCCUCACACCUGAACAGACAACAUAUCCCCAGCACUGCCCCAAAGCAGCAGCCAAAGAGCCACCACCACUAACCAUUGGUUACACUGGAUUUCAGCAGCAGCAAAAGGGUUUUAAUUGGGGUGUAAGAGCAGCAUAUGAAGAUCAAGAAACUGAAAGUGCAGCCCCUGCCCACAGCUAUCCCAGCUCCGCUCCCCAAGGCCCUGCUGUUGCUGUGAUGCUGCACGUUUACAUCAUGUCCUUAUCACAGAUAACGCCAUUUAUUCUGUUUCUUUCUCAGUCACCAUCUCCUUCUCCGUGGCUUUUUUUCCUCCUUGCAGUUUUCUCUCUGCUCUCUAUUGUGUGCAUACAAUGGCCCCUCUCUGUUCUCCACAGACUCCAUUGUGCUGUAAUUGCUCUCCUAUCUCUAAGGAAGGGAAGAUUCAUUCUGAUUUGAUCACAUUAUUUUUCUCUGUAUAACUGAUAAAUUUCUCCAUUAAUCCAUCUGUUUGCAGUGGUGUAUCUGGGUGCAGCGUGAAUAAACCUCCUUACAUAACAGCAUGUCCAAUUACAAAUUUCCCUGCAACCCAAUCUCCUCGGUGUUAACACACU